UACGAAGGGUGCAAGCGUUACUCGGAAUUACUGGGCGUAAAGCGUGCGUAGGCGGUUUGUUAAGUCUGUUGUGAAAGCCCCGGGCUCAACCUGGGAAUGGCAAUGGAUACUGGCAAGCUAGAGUGCGGUAGAGGGUAGUGGAAUUCCCGGUGUAGCGGUGAAAUGCGUAGAGAUCGGGAGGAACACCAGUGGCGAAGGCGGCUACCUGGACCAGCACUGACGCUGAGGCACGAAAGCGUGGGGAGCAAACAGG
rnacentral:rRNA from 1 species